GGUCCCGGUUGGAGUCCUUUGAGGGCUUCUUGACCUUGACAUCAUGCUCAGGGUCACGGUACUGCGCCCAUCUGCUCUCUCCCCGCUUCUCCGAGGCCCUUUCUCUGCCCACUUCAGCUCUGCUUGCUUCACCAUACUCGGGCAUCGAUGGCGGAAGAUGUAUAUGUAAGUACUGCAGAUGGUGCAUAUGUUGGAGUGAGGAAUCCCAGGGCGGCGUCUUUGCCCUCUUUCCGGAUAGUUAGAUGCCAUGCUUAUGACGCUUACGUCAUCGUAGGACACCCCAUGCCUAAACUCCAUAUGACCCCUGGGACUAGUUCGUUGAGUUUGAUCCUUCCAGGCACGAUGGUGAUCCAUUUCCAUGUGGGAAUCAAAGUUGUCAGUGUCUUGAACAUAAUGUUUAUGGUGAUGGUUGGUCCCUUGCAGGCCUCUGCUGAAAUCAAGGCUGGGAAGUUUGGUCAAAGAUGAUCCUAAUUGUUUUGUAGUUGGAGUAUUGUCUUGCUGAAGGGGAUCCAUCGCGCUGGUGCUUCUCUUGUUAUCAGAUGCGCUUGCCUUUUGCUUCAUGUCAGCUAGGUCCUGGAAAGUGAGAUUAACAGAGUCAUCGGGGAUCCCCAGAUAUAGUUGUUCAAGCUCCACUCGGGCCUUGGCCAAAUCUCCCAUUCUGAUGUUGAUGAUUCUUAAUUGCUUCGAUGCACAAGGGAGAGAGAUUUGUGGGGGAAUGAAGUGUUCCAAGUUAUUAAGGGGUGAAAGCGCGUUUAUUGUAAUGUUUCAUUGAAGAUGGAGACGCGUAUGUAUAUUUAAUUUAAUAAAAUGCAUGGCCGGACUUGACGAUGUUA